GACGAACGCUGGCGGCGUGCUUAACACAUGCAAGUCGAACGGUAAGGCUCCAGCUUGCUGGGGUACACGAGUGGCGAACGGGUGAGUAACACGUGGGUGACCUGCCCUGCACUUCGGGAUAAGCCUGGGAAACUGGGUCUAAUACCGGAUAGGACCGCACCGUGAGGGUGUGGUGGAAAGUUUUUUCGGUGUGGGAUGGGCCCGCGGCCUAUCAGCUUGUUGGUGGGGUAAUGGCCUACCAAGGCGGCGACGGGUAGCCGGCCUGAGAGGGUGGACGGCCGCAUUGGGACUGAGACACGGCCCAGACUCCUACGGGAGGCAGCAGUGGGGAAUAUUGCACAAUGGGCGGAAGCCUGAUGCAGCGACGCCGCGUGGGGGAUGACGGCCUUCGGGUUGUAAACUCCUUUCACCAUCGACGAAGGGUUUCUGACGGUAGAUGGAGAAGAAGCACCGGCUAACUACGUGCCAGCAGCCGCGGUAAUACGUAGGGUGCGAGCGUUGUCCGGAAUUACUGGGCGUAAAGAGCUCGUAGGUGGUAUGUCGCGUCGUCUGUGAAAUUCCGGGGCUUAACUCCGGGCGUGCAGGCGAUACGGGCAUAACUUGAGUACUGUAGGGGAGACUGGAAUUCCUGGUGUAGCGGUGAAAUGCGCAGAUAUCAGGAGGAACACCGGUGGCGAAGGCGGGUCUCUGGGCAGUAACUGACGCUGAGGAGCGAAAGCAUGGGGAGCGAACAGGAUUAGAUACCCUGGUAGUCCAUGCCGUAAACGGUGGGCGCUAGGUGUGGGUUUCCUUCCACGGGAUCCGUGCCGUAGCUAACGCAUUAAGCGCCCCGCCUGGGGAGUACGGCCGCAAGGCUAAAACUCAAAGGAAUUGACGGGGGCCCGCACAAGCGGCGGAGCAUGUGGAUUAAUUCGAUGCAACGCGAAGAACCUUACCUGGGCUUGACAUAUACAGGAUCGCGCCAGAGAUGGUGUUUCCCUUGUGGCUUGUAUACAGGUGGUGCAUGGUUGUCGUCAGCUCGUGUCGUGAGAUGUUGGGUUAAGUCCCGCAACGAGCGCAACCCUUGUCUUAUGUUGCCAGCACGUUGUGGUGGGGACUCGUAAGAAACUGCCGGGGUUAACUCGGAGGAAGGUGGGGAUGACGUCAAAUCAUCAUGCCCCUUAUGUCCAGGGCUUCACACAUGCUACAAUGGUCGGUACAGUGGGUUGCCAGUCCGUGAGGGCGAGCUAAUCCCGCAAAGCCGGUCUCAGUUCGGAUCGGGGUCUGCAACUCGACCCCGUGAAGUCGGAGUCGCUAGUAAUCGCAGAUCAGCAACGCUGCGGUGAAUACGUUCCCGGGCCU
rnacentral:rRNA from 1 species